rnacentral:rRNA from 1 species
CUCGACUGCACGAAGCUGGAAUCGCUAGUAAUCGCGGAUCAGCACGCCGCGGUGAAUACGUUCCCGGGCCUUGUACACACCGCCCGUCACACCAUGGAAGUCUGCAAUGCCCGAAGCCGGUGGCCUAACCACCUAUGUGGAAGGAGCCGUCUAAGGCAGGGCAGAUGACUGGGGUGAAGUCGUAACAAGGUACC